rnacentral:rRNA from 1 species
UACGUAGGGUGCGAGCGUUAAUCGGAAUUACUGGGCGUAAAGCGUGCGCAGGCGGUUCGUUGUGUCGGCGGUGAAAGCCCCGGGCUCAACCUGGGAAUGGCCGUUGAAACUGGCGAACUGGAGUGUGGCAGAGGGGGGUGGAAUUCCGCGUGUAGCAGUGAAAUGCGUAGAUAUCAGGAGGAACACCGGUGGCGAAGGCGGGUCUCUGGGCCGAUACUGACGCUGAGGAGCGAAAGCGUGGGGAGCGAACAGG